AGAGUUUGAUCCUGGCUCAGGAUGAACGCUGACAGAAUGCUUAACACAUGCAAGUCGAUGGGGAAGGCUGAGCUUGCUUAGCUGGUAACCAUGGCGGACGGGUGAGUAACGCGUAAGGAACUUACCUGCGGGACUGGGAUAACGGAGGGAAACUUCUGACAAGACCGGAUAAAGUUACUGGGCAGCAUUGUUUGGUAAUGAAAGGAGACGCCUGCGGAGAGUCUUGCGUCCUAUUAGCUAGUUGGUUGGGUAACGGCUGACCAAGGCGAUGAUAGGUAGCCGGCCUGAGAGGGUGGACGGCCACAAGGGGACUGAGAUACGGCCCUUACUCCUACGGGAGGCAGCAGUGGGGAAUAUUGGACAAUGGGGGCAACCCUGAUCCAGCAAUUCUGUGUGCACGAAGAAGGUUUUCGGAUCGUAAAGUGCUUUCAGCAGGGAGGAAGGAAGUGACUGUACCUGCAGAAGAAGCGACGGCUAAAUACGUGCCAGCAGCCGCGGUAAUACGUAUGUCGCGAGCGUUAUCCGGGAAUUAUUGGGCAUAAAGGGCAUCUAGGCGGCCCGGGUAAGUCUGGGGUGAAAACUUGCGGCUCAACCGCAAGCCUGCCCUGGAAACUAUAUGGCUAGAGUACUGGAGAGGUGGACGGAACUGCACGAGUAGAGGUGAAAUUCGUAGAUAUGUGCAGGAAUGCCGAUGAUGAAGAUAGUUCACUGGACGGUAACUGACGCUGAAGUGCGAAAGCUAGGGGAGCAAACAGGAUUAGAUACCCUGGUAGUCCUAGCUGUAAACGAUGAUUACUGGGUGUGGGCAUGAAGAGUGUCUGUGCCGAAGCUAAUGCGAUAAGUAAUCCGCCUGGGGAGUACGGCCGCAAGGCUGAAACUCAAAGGAAUUGACGGGGACCCGCACAAGCGGUGGAGCAUGUGGUUUAAUUCGACGCAACGCGAGGAACCUUACCAGAUCUUGACAUCCUACGAAUGCCUGUGAAAUCAGGUAGUGCCUUCGGGAACGUAGAGACAGGUGGUGCAUGGCUGUCGACAGCUCGUGUCGUGAGAUGUUGGGUUAAGUCCCGCAACGAGCGCAACC
rnacentral:rRNA from 1 species